rnacentral:lncRNA from 1 species
AAAUACUGGGUUCAAUUGAAGCCACAACACGAAGGAUGCAUCCGCCUCUAAUUAGCAUGUUCCUGUAGAAUAUAUACUGAAUAAGAGGAAGUAGGGUGAAGAAGAAAUAGUAAAAUAAAGUACAUCAAAUCCAGGUACACUGGAAAGUAGGUAUAUUCACAUCUUGCUUUUUUUGCUUUUCUGCAUUAAUAAGUCACCACAUAAUUUUUCAACACUACUGCAGUUGUGAGAGCUGCCACAUCGGAAAGUGGACUUGGAUACUACUCAAUUAUACUUCCAAUAUAAAGCUUGUCCAUUUCAUGGUGAUUGACUCAUGCCCCUUUCAAACAUAAAUUACAUUUGAUUACUGAAAAUGAUGUCAGACUAUAAUAACAAGCACAUUUCAUGACAAUUGGC